CGGGCGGAGGGCCUCCCCCGGAAUCUGUAUUCAAGGCAUGGGAACUUGACAUUUUGUCAAUUAUACCGGAUGAACUUAUCUCUGGGAUUGACGGAGGGGUUGAUACUGCCUUUGCCAGUAAUUCUGAAACAAAUAACUCAGCCUCAUCAUGCACUGCAGUCCCAUCGGAAAUUUACGCUGGAAUUCCAUCCUUGAUUG